ACUGAAUAUCCAUGGGGUAACCAUGAUAACAGUCUGAUGUGUUAGGCAAGUGGAAAAAAAUAUGUUUACAUCAGUCAGUGUCCCACAGGCUGCUGUAGGCCCAGUAUUGAUACGGGAGUUGAGAUGUCCUACAAUAAUCUCACAGCUUUAUGAUAUCCCUCAUAUUUUGUGCCGUUUUUUAUCCAUAUACAGGGCUUCGAAAGAACAUUUGAAGAUUCCAUUUCAGUAUGUUAUGCCCACUUUGAAAUGAAUUUAUCAUCACAGAGGGAUGACGGUGGAAACAGUGGGGAAUCACAAGAGGAAAGCCAAUAGCUACACUCUUGAUCCAUCACUGUACAACAGCAGCCUCAAGAGAGAUGCCUAAACAGAUGUUCACACAGACCUUUAGAAACGUCAGUAGAGUAUCCUACACCUGACCUUCUAUGAACCAGGAUGUAACAAUCCUCCUGGUUUCGACCCUUGCCUGUCCUGACUCCGUACCUACCUGCCUGACCACUCUGCCUGUUCUGACUACCAGCCUGCCUAUCCACUUGUACUGUUUCGGACUCAGAUCUGGUUUCUGACCUCUGCCUGGCCUGCCCUCGAGACUGCCUAUCGUCUGGUACUGUUUGGACUCUGACCUGGUUUAUAAACUCUCGCCUGUCCCCGACCUGCCUUUGCCUCCU